rnacentral:rRNA from 1 species
UACGGGGGGAGCAAGCGUUGUUCGGAUUUACUGGGCGUAAAGGGCGCGUAGGCGGCCACCGCAAGUCGACUGUGAAAUCUCCGGGCUUAACCCGGAAAGGUCAGCCGAUACUGCGGGGCUAGAGUGCAGAAGGGGCAACUGGAAUUCUCGGUGUAGCGGUGAAAUGCGUAGAUAUCGAGAGAAACACCAGUGGCGAAGGCGGCGACCUGGUUCAAUACUGACGCUGAGGUGCGAAAGCGUGGGGAGCAAACAGG